rnacentral:rRNA from 1 species
GCUAAACGCGAAGAACCUUACCAGGCCUUGACAUCCCGGUCGCGGACUUCUGAAAGGAGGUCUUUCAGUUCGGCUGGACCGGUGACAGGUGCUGCAUGGCUGUCGUCAGCUCGUGUCGUGAGAUGUUGGGUUAAGUCCCGCAACGAGCGCAACCCUCGCCCUUAGUUGCCAUCAUUAAAGUUGGGCACUCUAAGGGGACUGCCGGUGAUAAGCCGCGAGGAAGGUGGGGAUGGACGUCAAGUCCUCAUGGCCCUUACGGCCUGGGCCACACACGUGCUACAAUGGCGGUGACAAUGGGCAGCAAUGGCGUGAGCCUGAGCUAAUCUCAAAAAGCCGUCUCAGUUCGGAUUGCACUCUGCAACUCGGGGUGCAUGAAGUUGGAAUCGCUAGUAAUCGCGGAUCAGCACGCCGCGGUGAAUACGUUCCCGGGUCUUGUACACACCGAGUCGUGG